rnacentral:rRNA from 1 species
GACGAACGCUGGCGGCGUGCUUAACACAUGCAAGUCGAACGAUGAAGUUCCUCCGGGAAUGGAUUAGUGGCGAACGGGUGAGAAACACGUGAGAAACCUGCCUUUCAUUUUGGGAUAACUCCGGGAAACCGGAGCUAACACCGAAUACUCCGUCUCGGCGGCAUCGCUGAGCCGGGAAAAAAUUAUGAUGAAAGAUGGUCUCGCGGCCUAUCAGCUAGUUGGUGAGGUAAUGGCUCACCAAGGCGACGACGGGUAGCCGGCCUGAGAGGGCGGCCGGCCACACUGGGACUGAGACACGGCCCAGACUCCUACGGGAGGCAGCAGUGGGGAAUAUUGGGCAAUGGGCGCAAGCCUGACCCAGCGACGCCGCGUGAGGGAUGAAGGCCUUCGGGUUGUAAACCUCUUUCAGUAGGGAAGAAGCGAAAGUGACGGUACCUAAAGAAGAAGCACCGGCUAACUAUGUGCCAGCCGCCGCCGUAA